AGUGAACGCUGGCGGUAGGCCUAACACAUGCAAGUCGAACGGCAGCACAGUAAGAGCUUGCUCUUACGGGUGGCGAGUGGCGGACGGGUGAGGAAUACAUCGGAAUCUACUUUUUCGUGGGGGCUAACGUAGGGAAACUUACGCUAAUACCGCAUACGACCUACGGGUGAAAGCAGGGGAUCUUCGGACCUUGCGCGAUUGAAUGAGCCGAUGUCGGAUUAGCUAGUUGGCGGGGUAAAGGCCCACCAAGGCGACGAUCCGUAGCUGGUCUGAGAGGAUGAUCAGCCACACUGGAACUGAGACACGGUCCAGACUCCUACGGGAGGCAGCAGUGGGGAAUAUUGGACAAUGGGCGCAAGCCUGAUCCAGCCAUACCGCGUGGGUGAAGAAGGCCUUCGGGUUGUAGAGCCCUUUUGUUGGGAAAGAAAAGCAGCAGGUUAAUACCCCGCUGUUCUGGCGGUACCCAAAGAAUAAGCACCGGCUAACUUCGUG
rnacentral:rRNA from 1 species